UACGUAGGGCGCAAGCGUUGUCCGGAAUUAUUGGGCGUAAAGAGCUCGUAGGCGGCCUGUUACGUCUGCUGUGAAAUCCCGGGGCUUAACCCCGGGCGUGCAGUGGAUACGGGCAGGCUGGAGGCAGGCAGGGGAGAACGGAAUUCCCGGUGUAGCGGUGAAAUGCGCAGAUAUCGGGAGGAACACCGGUGGCGAAGGCGGUUCUCUGGGCUCUACCUGACGCUGAGGCGCGAAAGCGUGGGGAGCGAACCGG
rnacentral:rRNA from 1 species